CGACAGAUCCGGCUCCUCCUCCGCUCUCCUCUUCUCUCUCCCUAUUUUCUAGAUUACAACUAGAACUAACUAGAACUAGAACUAGAUGAACUAGAACUAGAACUAGAACUAGAUGAACUAGAGGGAUCCUCUCUACUUGGAUGAAUAAUUGAAACUCUAGCUUUGAUUCUGUAGAAGAGGUAUGUUCUCUAGGGGCCAGGGGGCCUGCUUAUAUAGCCCC
rnacentral:lncRNA from 1 species